rnacentral:misc_RNA from 1 species
AAUUCUCAAACCGGGAUGCUUUUUGUUUCUCGGCUUGGUGUUGGGCUUUGCAGUUCCUUUGAUUGGGAUGGCUGGCCUCAAAAGCAUUAGCUGGCUUUUCAUGUGGCAUUGGUUCUACUCAGCGUGAUAAUGAUCUGACCGCCGAGGACAUCUUUCGAGAUGGCCAAUUCUCAUUUGGGCUGCUUCUAAUUCUGGUUGAGCAGGUUCUAUCUGCUCUACUUUUCAGC